GGAUUAGAUACCCUGGUAGUCCACGCCGUAAACGAUGUCGACUAGCCGUUGGGGUCCUCGAGACCUUUGUGGCGCAGUUAACGCACUAAGUCGACCGCCUGGGGAGUACGGCCGCAAGGUUAAAACUCAAAUGAAUUGACGGGGGCCCGCACAAGCGGUGGAGCAUGUGGUUUAAUUCGAUGCAACGCGAAGAACCUUACCUACCCUUGACAUCGUGCGAACUUUCCAGAGAUGGAUUGGUGCCUUCGGGAGCGCACAGACAGGUGCUGCAUGGCUGUCGUCAGCUCGUGCCG
rnacentral:rRNA from 1 species